rnacentral:rRNA from 1 species
AUUGAACGCUGGCGGCAUGCUUUACACAUGCAAGUCGAGCGGCAGCGCGGGGGGCAACCCUGGCGGCGAGCGGCGAACGGGUGAGUAAUGCAUCGGAACGUACCCUGGAGUGGGGGAUAACGCCGCGAAAGCGGCGCUAAUACCGCAUAUGCUCUGAGGAGGAAAGUGGGGGACCGCAAGGCCUCACGCUCUGGGAGCGGCCGAUGUCCGAUUAGCUAGUUGGUGGGGUAAAGGCUUACCAAGGCGACGAUCGGUAGCUGGUCUGAGAGGAUGAUCAGCCACACUGGGACUGAGACACGGCCCAGACUCCUACGGGAGGCAGCAGUGGGGAAUUUUGGACAAUGGGGGCAACCCUGAUCCAGCCAUGCCGCGUGAGUGAAGAAGGCCUUCGUGUUGUAAAGCUCUUUGGUCGGGAGAAGUGCCUGCUUAAUACGCGGGGUAUUUGACGGUACCGGCAGAAUAAGCACCGGCUAACUACGUGCCAGCAGCCGCGGU